GCCAACGACCAUACCACGUAGGAACUACUGGUUCUCGUU
rnacentral:rRNA from 1 species